GUCUAUGGCCAUACCACCCUGAAUGCACCCGAUCUGGUCUGAUCUCGGAAGCUAAGCGGGGUCGGGCCUGGUUAGUACUUGGAUGGGAGA
rnacentral:rRNA from 1 species